UUCGCUCUGACCCAUUUCUUUUUCUUGAGACCUAGUAAGCUUACACUAAACCCAGCCUGAUUUGUUAACUUGUUUUAAUUGACGAGUGUUUGUCGGCGAAACAUUUAUAGCUUCUUGGCAGUGAUUGAAUUGUACGAAACUUUAACAGACGAUUCUGAGAGGAAAACUAUUUCCAAAUUCCUAACUGUAACCAGAACUUAUCUUGUGAAGAGCCAAGGAUAUCAGAUUUUAGAGAACAGAAGUAGAGGAUCAUAACGACUUAUUCAAGAAACUACUUCCUAACUUGACUGAUCUAUCAUACCCUAGAUUAUCAGAAUUCAGUGCACAGAAAGACAGGAUCAAACCAACUCAGACAAUUUUAACAAUCUCUCAACAUCAGUGACCGAAUUUUACGAACAUUUAAAAACGGUUCUGAGAGGAAUACUAUUUCCUAAAUCCUAACUGCAAUCUAUCUUGUGGAGACUGAUCUUACCUACUCCAGAAUACGACAGCCAGCACGUCAUUUUAAAGCGAUAAGAUUAAGAGACUCUCGUGGAGUAUAUCAGAUUUCAGUGGACAGAAGUAGAGGA